rnacentral:rRNA from 1 species
AACGAACGCUGGCGGCGUGCUUAACACAUGCAAGUCGAACGAGAAAGCUCUACGGAGUGAGUAUAGUGGCGAACGGGUGAGUAACACGUAGGUACCUACCGAACAGCGGGGGACAACUCGGAGAAAUCCGGGCUAAUACCGCAUACGCAAGAAAUUGGAAAGAAUGCCUCUCCUUGGAAGCAUUCACUGUUUGAUGGGCCUGCGGGACAUUAGCUUGAUGGUGGGGUAAUGGCCUACCUUGGCAACGAUGUCUAGCGGAUCUGAGAGGAUGAUCCGCCACACUGGAACUGAGACACGGUCCAG